UACGUAGGGUGCAAGCGUUGUCCGGAAUUAUUGGGCGUAAAGAGCUCGUAGGCGGUUUGUCGCGUCUGCUGUGAAAACUCGGGGCUUAACUCCGGGCCUGCAGUGGGUACGGGCAGACUAGAGUGCGGUAGGGGAGACUGGAAUUCCUGGUGUAGCGGUGAAAUGCGCAGACAUCAGGAGGAACACCGGUGGCGAAGGCGGGUCUCUGGGCCGUAACUGACGCUGAGGAGCGAAAGCGUGGGGAGCGAACAGG
rnacentral:rRNA from 1 species